rnacentral:rRNA from 1 species
CCUACGGGAGGCAGCAGUGGGGAAUAUUGCUCAAUGGGCGAAAGCCUGAAGCAGCCACGCCGCGUGAAGGAUGAAGGCUUUCGGGUUGUAAACUUCUUUUUAUAGGGAAGAUAAUCACGGUAUGCAUACCCUCAGCCAUGGAUAACUCCGUGCCAGCAGCCGCGGUAAUACGGAGGGUGCAAGCGUUAUUCGGAAUUACUGGGCGUAAAGGGCGUGUAGGCGGGAUAGCAAGUCAGAUGUGAAAUCGUUCGGCUGAACCAUAGAACUGCAUUUGAAACUGGCAGUCUUGAGUAUAGUAGAGGUGGGUGGAAUUCGUGGUGUAGCGGUGAAAUGCGUAGAGAUCACGAGGAAUACUGAUUGCGAAGGCGGCCCGCUGGA